rnacentral:rRNA from 1 species
AUCAACGCUGGCGGCGUGCCUAACACAUGCAAGUCGAACGAGAAAGUCCCCGCAAGGGGAUGAGUAAAGUGGCGACCGGGUGAGUAACACGUGGUUAACCUACCCUUGAGCGGGGAAUAACCUGGGGAAACUCGGGCUAAUACCGCAUAACAUCCUGGUGACAUAAGCCAUCAGGAUCAAAGGCCCGCAAGGGUCACUUGAGGAGGGGACUGCGGCCGAUUAGCUAGAUGGCGGGGUAAUGGCCCACCAUGGCGAUGAUCGGUAGCCGGCCUGAGAGGGCGCACGGUCACACUGGCACUGAAAUACGGGCCAGACUCCUACGGGAGGCAGCAGUGGGGAAUUUUGCACAAUGCCCGAAAGGGUGAUGCAGCAACGCCGCGUGAGGGAUGAAGGCCUUCGGGUCGUAAACCUCUUUCGACUGGGAAAAACGGGCGCGUGAAGAACGCGUUCUGAUGGUACCGGUGGAAGAAGCCCCGGCCAACUACGUGCCAGCAGCCGCGGUAAUACGUAGGGGGCGAGCGUUGUUCGGAAUUAUUGGGCGUAAAGGGCGUGUAGGCGGUGCGGUAAGUCGGGCGUGAAAUCUCCGGGCUUAACUCGGAGAGGUCGUCCGAAUACUGAAGUGACUAGAGUGCUGGGAGAGGAAGUGGAAUUCCCUGGUGUAGCGGUGAAAUGCGUAGAUAUCAGGAGGAACACCGUGGGGUAGGACGGCUCUCUGGACCAUAACUGACGCUGAGACAGCGAAAGCGUAGGGGAGCAAACAGGAUUAGAUACCCUGGUAGUCCUAGCCCUAAACGAUGAACAUAUUGGUGUGGGCAGUUCAAUUCGGGCCGUGCCGGAGCUAACGCGUUAAGUAGUCCGCCUGGGGAGUACAGGUCGCAAGGCUGAAACUCAAAGGAAUUGACGGGGGCCCGCACAAGCGGUGGAGCAUGUGGUUCAAUUCGACGCAACGCGAAGAACCUUACCUGGACUCGAACGGCUGGUCAACGGAGGUGGAAACAUCUUUACCCCGCAAGGGGGUCCAGUCGAGGUGCUGCAUGGCUGUCGUCAGCUCGUGUCGUGAGAUGUUGGGUUAAGUCCCGCAACGAGCGCAACCCUUGUCCUGUGUUGCCAUGCCGAAAGGCGGAACUCGCAGGAGACCGCCAGCGAUAAGCUGGAGGAAGGUGGGGAUGACGUCAAGUCCUCAUGGCCUUUAUGUCCAGGGCUACACACGUGCUACAAUGGACGGUACAAAGCGCCGCGAACCCGCGAGGGGGAGCCAAUCGCAAAAAACCGUUCUCAGUUCGGAUUGCAGGCUGCAACUCGCCUGCAUGAAGCUGGAAUCGCUAGUAAUGGCAGAUCAGCACGCUGCCGUGAAUACGUUCCCGGGCCUUGUACACACCGCCCGUCACAUCACGAAAGUGGAUUGUACUAGAAGUCUGCAGGCUGACCCGCAAGGGAGGCAGCGGCCCAAGGUAUGAUCCAUGAUUGGGGUG